GGGCUCGUGGUUUAGUGGUAUAAUACUCCCUUAGCAUCUCGCAAGCAGUCUUCUGCUUAGCAAUCUAGCCUGGGAGUGGUCCGGGGUUCGAUUCCCCGCGAGUCCA